UACGAAGGGGGCUAGCGUUGUUCGGAAUUACUGGGCGUAAAGCGCACGUAGGCGGAUAUUUAAGUCAGGGGUGAAAUCCCAGAGCUCAACUCUGGAACUGCCUUUGAUACUGGGUAUCUUGAGUAUGGAAGAGGUAAGUGGAAUUGCGAGUGUAGAGGUGAAAUUCGUAGAUAUUCGCAGGAACACCAGUGGCGAAGGCGGCAUCCUGGACCGGUAUUGACGCUGAUGCGCGAAAGCCAGGGGAGCAAACGGG
rnacentral:rRNA from 1 species